rnacentral:lncRNA from 1 species
UCAGGAUUCCUUUAAAGAGGACUUCUCUGUGGAGCUGUUCAGAGUCCCAGAGGUGCUAGUAACUUCAGGAGCAUUCUGCUGUGAUGUGGUGCUGAAUCCUCAGAUGCCUGGAAACCUUCAGAGGUCGAGGUGCCCACAGGAUCAGCCAAUGAAGCCGUUUCAGAUACAUUGACUCCGCCCUCUGCCCCUGAACAGUCUCCUCCUCCUACCGCACAACAAGGAUCAUGACUAUAACCUUGUCAUUAUAUAUGUAUUUGUAAUAUUUGUGAAAUAAAUGUGUACAAAAU